rnacentral:rRNA from 1 species
UACGGAGGGUGCGAGCGUUGUCCGGAAUCACUGGGCGUAAAGGGCGCGUAGGCGGCCUGAUAAGUAGGGGGGUGAAAUCCUGCGGCUUAACCGCAGGGCUGCCUUCUAAACUGUCGGGCUAGAGCACGGUAGAGGCAGAUGGAAUUCCCGGUGUAGCGGUGGAAUGCGUAGAGAUCGGGAAGAACAUCAGUGGCGAAGGCGGUCUGCUGGGCCGUUGCUGACGCUGAGACGCGAAAGCGUGGGGAGCGAACAGG